rnacentral:snoRNA from 1 species
GGCCGAUGAUUACCAUAUUUGCUACUCUUGAUGCAAAAUGAUGAACAUCUACCAAGAUCUCUGAGGUC